rnacentral:rRNA from 1 species
GGAAUAUUGGACAAUGGACCAAAAGUCUGAUCCAGCAAUUCUGUGUGCACGAUGAAGUUUUUCGGAAUGUAAAGUGCUUUCAGUUGGGAAGAAGAAAGUGACGGUACCAACAGAAGAAGCGACGGCUAAAUACGUGCCAGCAGCCGCGGUAAUACGUAUGACGCAAGCGUUAUCCGGAUUUAUUGGGCGUAAAGCGCGUCUAGGCGGUUUGGUAAGUCUGAUGUGAAAAUGCGGGGCUCAACUCCGUAUUGCGGUGGAAACUGUCAAACUAGAGUACUGGAGAGGUAGGCGGAACUACAAGUGUAGAGGUGAAAUUCGUAGAUAUUUGUAGGAAUGCCGAUGGGGAAGCCAGCCUACUGGACAGAUACUGACGCUAAAGCGCGAAAGCGUGGGUAGCAAAC